rnacentral:rRNA from 1 species
CAACUUUCAACAAUGGAUCUCUUGGCUCUGGCAUCGAUGAAGAACGCAGCGAAAUGCGAUAAGUAGUGUGAAUUGCAGAAUUCCGUGAAUCAUCGAAUCUUUGAACGCACAUUGCGCCCCUCGGUAUUCCGUGGGGCAUGCCUGUUCGAGCGUCAUU